rnacentral:rRNA from 1 species
CACAAGCGGUGGAUGAUGUGGAUUAAUUCGAUGCAACGCGAAAACCUUACCUACCCUUGACAUGUCUGGAACCUUGGUGAGAGCCGAGGGUGCCUUCGGGAGCCAGAGCACAGGUGCUGCAUGGCUGUCGUCAGCUCGUGUCGUGAGAUGUUGGGUUAAGUCCCGCAACGAGCGCAACCCUUAUCAUUAGUUGCUACGCAAGGGCACUCUAAUGAGACUGCCGGUGACAAACCGGAGGAAGGUGGGGAUGACGUCAAGUCCCCAUGGCCCUUAUGGGUAGGGCUUCACACGUCAUACAAUGGUCGGUACAGAGGGUUGCCAAGCCGCGAGGUGGAGCCAAUCCCAGAAAGCCGAUCGUAGUCCGGAUUGUUCUCUGCAACUCGAGAGCAUGAAGUCGGAAUCGCUAGUAAUCGCGGAUCAGCAUGUCGCGGUGAGUACGUUCCCGGGUCUU